rnacentral:misc_RNA from 1 species
GAAAUGCGAUAAGGAGUGUGAAUUGCAGAAUUCAGUGAAUCAUCGAAUCUUUGAACGCACAUUGCGCCCCUUGGUAUUCCAUGGGGCAUGCCUGUUCGAGCGUCAUUUGUACCCUCAAGCUCUGCUUGGUGUUGGGUGUUUGUCCCCGUCUCCGCGCGUGGACUCGCCCCAAAGUGAUUGGCAGCCGGCGUACUGGUCCCGGAGCGCAGCACAUGUCGCGCAAACGAGUGCCUUGGUACGGCGGCGUCCAUAAGCCCCUCUCUCACGCUCUUGACCUCGGAUCAGGUAGGGAUACCCGCUGAACUUAAGC